UACCCGCUGAACUUAAGCAUAUCAAUAAGCGGAGGAAAAGAAACUAACAAGGAUUCCCCUAGUAACUGCGAGUGAAGCGGGAAAAGCUCAAAUUUGAAAUCUGGCUGUCUUUGGCAGUCCGAGUUGUAAUUUCGAGAAGUGUUACCCGUGCUGGACCGUACAUAAGUCUUCUGGAAAGGAGCAUCACAGAGGGUGAAAAUCCCGUCUAUGGUACGGACUCCCAGUGCAUUGUGGUAUGCUCUCAACGAGUCGAGUUGUUUGGGAAUGCAGCUCAAAAUGGGUGGUAAAUUCCAUCUAAAGCUAAAUAUUGGUGUGAGACCGAUAGCGAACAAGUACCGUGAGGGAAAGAUGAAAAGAACUUUGGAAAGAGAGUUAAACAGUACGUGAAAUUGUCAAUAGGGAAACGCUUGAAGUCAGUCGCGUUGCUCUGGGAUCAGCCUUCCUUUUGGUUGGUGUACUUCCUGAGUGACGGGUCAGCAUCAGUUUUGACUGCUGGAAAAAGGCUUAGGGAAUGUGGCUCUUUCGGGAGUGUUAUAGCCCUUUGUCAUAUACAGUGGUUGGGACUGAGGAACUCAGCACGCCGCAAGGCAGGUCUUCGGACACUUUCGUGCUUAGGAUGCUGGCAUAAUGGCUUUAAGCGACCCGUCUUGAAACACGGACCAAGGAGUCUAACAUGCAUGCGAGUCUUUGGGUGUCAAACCCAUGGGCGUAAUGAAAGUGAAAGUUGAKAACUCUGUCGUGGAGUGCAUCGACGCCCAGCCCAGAGCUUUUGUGACGGUGCUGCGGUUGAGCACGUAUGUUGGGACCCGAAAGAUGGUGAACUAUGCCUGAAUAGGGCGAAGCCAGAGGAAACUCUGGUGGASGCUCGUAGCGAUUCUGACGUGCAAAUCGAUCGUCAAAUUUGGGUAUAGGGGCGAAAGACUAAUCGAAC
rnacentral:rRNA from 1 species